rnacentral:rRNA from 1 species
GACGCCGCGUGAGGGAUGACGGCCUUCGGGUUGUAAACUUCUUUCAGCAGGGAAGAAGCGCAAGUGACGGUACCUGCAGAAGAAGCGCCGGCUAACUACGUGCCAGCAGCCGCGGUAAUACGUAGGGUGCGAGCGUUGUCCGGAAUUAUUGGGCGUAAAGAGCUCGUAGGCGGCUUGUCGCGUCGGAUGUGAAAGCCCGGGGCUUAACCCCGGGUCUGCAUUCGAUACGGGCAGGCUAGAGUGUCGGUAGGGGAGAUCGGAAUUACCUGGUGUAGCGGUGAAAUGCGCAGAUAUCAGGAGGAACACCGGUGGCGAAGGCGGAUCUCUGGGCCGAUUACUGACGCUGAGGAGCGAAAGCGUGGGGAGCGAACAGGAUUAGAUACCCUGGUAGUCCACGCCGUAAACGUUGGGAACUAGGUGUGGGCGACAUUCCACGUUGUCGGUGCCGCAGCUAACGCAUUAAGUC